rnacentral:rRNA from 1 species
UACGUAGGGGGCGAGCGUUGUCCGAAGUUACUGGGCGUAAAGCGCGCGUAGGCGGGCGGAUAAGUGAGGAGUGAAAGGCUUGGGCUCAACCUGAUGCACUGCUUCUCAUACUGUUCGUCUUGAGUGAGGCAGGGAGAAGUGGAAUGGCUGGUGUAGCGGUGAAAUGCGUAGAUAUCUGGAGGAACACCGGUGGCGAAGGCGGCAUCCUGGACCAACACUGACGCUGAGUGAGCGAAAGCCAGGGGAGCAAACGGG